GGGGAAUAUUGCACAAUGGGGGAAACCCUGAUCCAGCCAUGCCGCGUGAGUGAAGAAGGCCUUCGGGUUGUAAAGCUCUUUCGGCCGGGAAGAAAUCGUGCAGGCUAAUACCCUGUAUGGAUGACGGUACCGGAAUAAGAAGCACCGGCUAACUACGUGCCAGCAGCCGCGGUAAUACGUAGGGUGCGAGCGUUAAUCGGAAUUACUGGGCGUAAAGCGUGCGCAGGCGGUUAUAUAAGACAGAUGUGAAAUCCCCGGGCUCAACCUGGGAACUGCAUUUGUGACUGUAUAGCUAGAGUACGGUAGAGGGGGAUGGAAUUCCGCGUGUAGCAGUGAAAUGCGUAGAGAUGUGGAGGAACACCAAUGGCGAAGGCGGCCCCCUGGGUCGAUACUGACGCUCAUGCACGAAAGCGUGGGGAGCAAACA
rnacentral:rRNA from 1 species